UCUCUGUUUCUGAAUUAAUAAUAAAAACUGAGAGAAUGGGGGACUUAUCUGGCAGUUGGAGAAGACGGUGAGCGGUUUGUCUCAGUACUACACUUUAGCAAGGCAGAAGAAAAAUGCGAUUGCCGAUGCAAAGAGACAGGCGAAUCUGUUGAAGAUCGAAUCGAAUCGUAAGAAGAGAAAAACGGAACUAUUCCGACGAUUCAAAACCAUCUUCAAAAAGGUACGGUGGUGAUUAUUAGUAAAAUGAUGGAAAACAAAAAAAAUUAUUUUUUACUUUUUACCCCUUUCAUUGUUCUUCAUCAUUUUUCACUUCAAUGUUUAGAACUUGAGAUCCACAUAUCAUGUGUUUUGUAGAUCAUGCAGCAUGAAUGGUCUUGGCCAUUUCAACAACCAGUUGAUGUCAAGGGACUUGGUUUGGAGGAUUAUUAUACGGUAAAUUUUGUUCCCUUUUUCAUCAACCAGCAUUCAUCUGCAAAGAAAUUGAAUAUAAAGUUACUGGAAUUCUGAAUUGGGCAAUUCAUUAUUAGUAUAAUUAGGUUGAAUGCGACGAUUAAUGAUUUCGACUUAUAUCAUAUCAUAGGUCAUAAAAAAACCAAUGCAUUUGGCUGCAAUAGAGGAAAGGAUGGAACAACAGGGCUCAUCUGGAUAUAAAGACGUUCGAGAAACUUACUCCGAUGUCAAAUUGGUGUUCGAAAAUGCAAUCAAAUACAAUGGUAAGACUGAGGAUGUUCAUGUCAUGGCAUCAUUACUGUUGAAGAAAUUAGAGGUCAAAUGGCAGAUGCUGUUGCCAAAAGUUCGUGAAGAGGUGACUAACUCUAUGCAUAAUCAACAAACUAAACUUCCAUGAUAGAAGAAACUAUUGUUUUGUUCAUACUUACUUUACUCAUUCCAGGAAGCAAAACAGAAAUUAGAGUGUGCACAGUUAAACAUGGAGAAUCUUGCUGCACAAGAAGAGGUUGACAAUGCAAGAAUAGCUAAAGAAACAAGCAAGCUUGUAAGUUUUAAUACAGAAAAAUAUACUACCAUAUGAACAAGAUUUUUUCCAUUUUUCAGCAUCUUAUUUUUUUUCCAGCUUCAUGAUAUUAGCCGUCAAUUGUCGAACCUUAAAGAGGAGGUGGUGAAUAACUGCAGGUAUUUUUUUUAAAGAUAUUUUUAUUUUGAUAAUGGAUGGUACAUUUCUAUAAGUAAAAAGACUUACCUCUGGGUGAUAUAUCAAAGUUACAUAAUAUAUAAGUUUGAUAGUUAUUAAUAAAACCUUAAACCCUCAACAACUUUGAUAGUUACUGGUAUCAGUUGAACUAAUUUCCAUGUGUAUAUAUGUCUUCAUUAUUACAAAGUGUAACUGAGAGUUUUGUUCAUUUUUUAAGGAAAAUAUCUACAGUAGAAAAGGGAGCUAUUGCACGGGGACUGACCAAAUUACCAGCUGCAGACCUUCAAAAGGCAUUAGACAUAAUUACUAACAACAAUUCAAACUUUACGAUCACACAAGAGGGGAUCGACAUCGACAUAGACUCUCAGGUAUGCAUAUAUUUCUAUAUGAAUGCACAAAGUUGGUUUUCUCACUGUCAAUUGUUUUCCGACUCGCAGAGUAAUUCCACCUUGUGGAGGCUCAAAUUUUUCAUCAAGUCUAGGAUGCAAGCACUACAAGAGAACUACAAAUGCAUUGCAACUAAUGCUGAAACUGAUCUCGAGAAGCCAGCUCCAAAAAAACGCCGAAAGAAUGCUCAAGCACCAAAGUAAAUGAGCAAAGUAACAUAAAUACUAGCUAGGUGUAUUACUUUUGUAGAUCAGAUUAGGCACAUAUCAGUCUGCAGUUGCUGUAAAUAACAAAGAUUCUCUUGUAGUCAUGAGAGGGAAGUUCUUAUGUAUUCAAACAUUUGUUAUGAACUUAUGAUGUAUGAUUUCUCCAUCAGACAUCAAGAAACCAAAAAUCUUGGAGAAAUAAUUGAAAUUGUAUUCUGAAAAAUGAGGCAUUCUUUUGAAAAAUCUAAUGAAAAUUAGUUGUGGUUACCAAUGCACACACCAUCCAAUCAUCUACAAUCCCAAAUCAUACCAUACCAUAAUACCACAGAAGAAACUAUUCAUUUUCAUGAUCGAUCAAGCAAUGAAACGAACAGAUUCAGAUUCUCAAGUAAAGGAGAUCCUAAGUUCCUAACCCUAACAUAAAUUCUCAAGCAAAGAUUAAAAAUAUGAUGUCUAACUCUUAAGAUCACAUACUAACUAACGCCUGUUCAAGGAUCAAAAACAACUAGGAACAGGAAGGAAAUCAUACCAAGGAAUAACAAACGAAUCGGCACAAGUGUAACUUACGGUACCUCGCCGGACCGGAGUAGUGAAAAUCGGAGUAGAUGCAUGUAGAUGAUUUGUCCUGUUGUGUUGAGGAAGAGGAGGCAAACUUACGUUUGCUA
rnacentral:lncRNA from 1 species